rnacentral:rRNA from 1 species
UUGUGCCAGCCACCGCGGUCACACAAGAGACCCAAAUUAACUGUACGCGGCGUAAAGAGUGGGACUAUGGUGUCAUAAUAACUAGGAUCGAAAUACAACUAAGCCGUCAUAAGCCCAAGGUGUACGUAAGACCCCCAUUAAGAUGAUCCUAGCAUUCUUGACUGAUUUAACUCCACGAAAGCUAGGGUACAAACUGGGAUUAGAUACCCCAUUAUGCCUAGCCCUAAAUCUUGAUGUUUACCAUACCAAAUCAUCCGCCUGAGAACUACGAGCACAAACGCUUAAAACUCUAAGGACUUGGCGGUGUCCCAAACCCACCUAGAGGAGCCUGUUCUGUAAUCGAUAACCCACGAUUUACCUAACCACUCCUUGCUAAGGCAGCCUACAUACCGCCGUCGCCAGCUCACCUUCACUGAGAGCCAAACAGUGAGCACAAUAGCUAAACUCGCUAGCAAGACAGGUCAAGGUAUAGCCUAUGGAGUGGAAGAAAUGGGCUACAUUUUCUAUAAUAGAAAACCUACGAAAGGGGGCAUGAAACAGCCCCCGGAAGGCGGAUUUAGCAGUAAAGUGGGACAAUAGAGCCCCCUUUAAGUUGGCCCUGGGGCACGUACAUACCGCCCGUCACCCUCCUCACAAGCCACAGACUAUCAUAACUAAUACCCCCCACGGCUGAAGAUGAGGCAAGUCGUAACAAGGUAAGUGUACCGGA